rnacentral:rRNA from 1 species
ACGCUCGACACCUACGGGAGGCAGCAGUAGGGAAUCUUCCACAAAUGGACGCAAGUCUGAUGGAGCAACGCCGCGUGAGUGAAGAAGGUCUUCGGAUCGUAAAACUCUGUUGUUAGAGAAGAACACGAGUGAGAGUAACUGUUCAUUCGAUGACGGUAUCUAACCAGCAAGUCACGGCUAACUACGUACCAGCAGCCGCGGUAAUCUGAGCGGGCUGGCAAGGC